AUAUUUAUUUUAAAUCACAAACCUAAAUUCCAAUGUACACAUUUAUAGAACAGCUUUUUAAUACCAUAGGCAUAAAGAGUAAGUUUACCUGCCACUGUGAACAGAAAUCUAAGUUAAUACUGUGCUACUAGUUACCUGAGGUUUUGAGUUCAAAGCGGACAGCGCAAGUAUAAUCGUAAAAUUCAAUGAAUAGGUUUGUUUGACAUUGCUAGAAUGAGCUUGCACCUUACUGCCAUGAAACUGGUACUAAAAGCAUACAUAUGUACAUAAUUGCAGACUAAAGAUUAUGGUCUCUGCAGUUGCACAGGAGUGAUGGGAGAAUAAGUACAGCACUAGUGUAUGCUCUCAUAACUGCAAAAUGUAAAUCUAACCACACAGUUGUGUUUUCAGAGGGUCCAGAACCACCCUUCAAUUUUAUUUUUAUUAAUACAAAAAAUGCAUGUCUGUACAGACUUAUGUAGGAGUAUAUAUACAAAAAGCACUGUGUCUCAUUUAAGCAAACUCACUACACACACAUAUAUGGGAGGAGCAGAAAGGAAUUAGAAAGAAUACUGAGGAGGGAGAUAAACUACUGAGGAAGCAGGCAGAUCAGCAACUGUAUAUGAAACUAAAGGUGGGUCUGAUGAGAUAUUAAUGGUAGAUCUGUGUUAGUAGCUAGAGAUGGGUCUGGAGACUGUGUGAGUACUAGAGUUAGGUGUUAGAAACUAAAGGCAGAUCUGGCGAUUAUGUGAAGGGCAAGAUGUGUGUCUAGGGGGUGCACGGCUUGAGGUAGGUCUGGAGGGUGUGUGAGGGCUUGAGCUUUUUUUGUGUGGUGGUGUGAGGGUUAGAUUUGGGACAAAUUGUGGGGUACAAGGUAGAUCUAGACUAGAGCUAUACCGUGAUACUGUGUAAAGAGUUUAGUGUAGAUCUGAUCUUUGUAAAGGGAAAGGUGCAGACCUAACGCAGGAGUGGAGGUUAUAAUUGAUUGUGUAAGUUUGCUAGAGAUUAAUCUAAAGGCUAUGCGACUGGCUUGAGAUGGGCCUGGGGUUACAUGUGCUGCUAAAGUUUGAGGGUCUCUAGAGUCUUAUAGGCAUCAAAAUAACAUUAGCUGAAUUAAGAAGUUUUUGUGUAUAGGUCAUUUCCCUGCAGUCUCACUGCUCAAUUCUCUGCCAUUUAGAAGUUAAAUCACUAUUGUUUCUGUUUAUGCAGCCCUAGCCACACCUCCCCUAGCUGUGACUGACACAGCCUGCAUUAAAAAAAGGCUUCAUUUUUAAUCUGAUGUUAACUUACUUUAGAAGUUUUAUAUCCUGCUCUGCCAAUUUUACUUUAAUCACACGCAAGGCUCCUGCAUGGUCUAACAAGGCUAUUAAAGAAGGAGAUAAGAAAUUCUAAAUUGUAAACAAUGUUUAAUAGAGGACAUUUAAACAUAAGAUCUCUGUUUAUAAAGCUGUUUAUGUCAUAUAAGGGAGUGACAAGGGCAGCAUAAACAGUAAUUUAAGUUCUAAAUGGCAGAGAAUUGAGCAGUGAAACUGCAGAGGCAUGAGAUUAUCUAUCUAUCUAUCCAUCUAUCGAUCUCAAAACUGCAUAAUUAAGCUAGAGUUGUUUUGGUGCCUAUAAUGGGGACACUGAUCUCAGUGCAAAAUAAAGCAGGUUUCAGACGGUGAGUUAGUUAUGUGGCUGUAAAAUAAAAAUAGCCGGUAAUUUAAAAUACAACAGGUGAAAAUGAAGUCAAGAAACUGGUAGCGAGGUGAAACAGGGAGAACAGGGGCUGAUGGAGAAAUACUACAAGUAGAGUAAGGGCUAAUAUAAAGUCAGAUAUUAGUCUGUUAGAAGAUAAAAUGACCAUUACCAAUUUAUUCUUGCAGAAAUCUCAUGAGUGUGAUGAGAGAUUUUAUUUUACAUAAGAAUCUCUGUGGGACCUUGAGACUAGUUUUUAUUAUUUAGUAGGAUAAGAAAAAUGACUCGUAGACUAUGCUUACUUGUUGAGAUUAAGGUUGUUGUUAAAUCUGGGGAACUGGAUUAACCCAGCUUUGCUGGAUGCUUGAAAAGAUUCAGGAGUAUUUUGGGCUGUGCAGUGUGCUACGAUAAAAUGAAACCGAAUGAUGAAUAAUGCAUUUCUGUAGAUUUAAUUAGGUUUAUUCAGCAUACUGAAAAUUUAG